AUGGAAACUAAAACGUGCCCCUGUCCAGUCGAAUUAAUAGACUGCCACCCCCACUUCCCAAAGUAUACGUUUUGUUGUCGGUGGCAAUCCUUUAGAGAUUUCUGAUGCUGUUCAGAGAAAAAAAAACACCAUUGAGUAUCUUUUCCGUCUGUGAAAUAAUCACACCGUCUCUUCAAUCUGGUUCCUGUCCCGAUCCCAACGAAUGCAUCGCAUAAGGCGGCACUGCGCGUUCCAGAUCAAGAAAAGCAGAAAUCAGAGUUAGAUUGGGGAAAGUCGAAAGUUAUCGAGUAAUUGAUCUAAUUCGCCAAUUCCGAAUACGAGGUAAGUUCGUAAGUAAAUAAAUAUUUUUAAAAUUUAAAUAUAAAUGUUAUAUACAUUGCUGAAAUUAAUUCGUACAUGGUUAUAUAUUGUCGAUAUUGAAUUGUUUAUGAAUAUAGGAUGCUGAAUUGGAUUUGUAUAUGAUUAUAUAUUGCCGGACUUGAUUCAUGAAUGGUUAUACCUUGUUGAAUUGUUUGGUAUAUGGAUGUAAGUUGUCGAAUUGAUUCGUAUAUGUUGUACCUUGCUGAUAUUAAUUUGUACAUGGUUAUAUAUUGUCGAUAUUGAAUUGUUUAUGAAUAUAGGAUGCCGAAUUGGAUUUGUAUAUGAUUAUAUAUUGCCGAACUUGAUUCGUGAAUGGUUAUACCUUGUCGAAUUGUUUGGUAUAUGGAUAUAAGUUGUCGAAUUGAUUCGUAUAUGUUGUACCUUGCUGAAAUUAAUUUGUACAUGGUUAUAUAUUGUCGAUAUUGAAUUGUUUAUGAAUAUAGGAUGCCGAAUUGGAUUUGUAUAUGAUUAUAUAUUGUCGAA